GGGGCGGUAGCUCAGUUGGGAGAGCACCGGCUUUGCAAGCCGGGGGUCAUGGGUUCGAAUCCCAUCCGCUCCA
rnacentral:tRNA from 1 species